AGUGAACGCUGGCGGUAGGCCUAACACAUGCAAGUCGAACGGCAGCACAGUAAGAGCUUGCUCUUACGGGUGGCGAGUGGCGGACGGGUGAGGAAUACAUCGGAAUCUACUUUUUCUUGGGGGAUAACGUAGGGAAACUUACGCUAAUACCGCAUACGACCUACGGGUGAAAGCAGGGGAUCUUCGGACCUUGCGCGAUUGAAUGAGCCGAUGUCGGAUUAGCUAGUUGGCGGGGUAAAGGCCCACCAAGGCGACGAUCCGUAGCUGGUCUGAGAGGAUGAUCAGCCACACUGGAACUGAGACACGGUCCAGACUCCUACGGGAGGCAGCAGUGGGGAAUAUUGGACAAUGGGCGCAAGCCUGAUCCAGCCAUACCGCGUGGGUGAAGAAGGCCUUCGGGUGGUAAAGCCCUUUUGUUGGGAAAGAAAAGCAGCAGGUUAAUACCCCGCUGUUCUGACGGUACCCAAAGAAUAAGCACCGGCUAACUUCGU
rnacentral:rRNA from 1 species